GGAACUGUGAUCGGCCUUGAGCGGCGUCUGGUCGGAGAACUUUUACGGCGACCGGAGUGUGAUCUAAAGAGCACUUGUAAACAGGUCCGUACCCUCCUUCUCCGAUUUUACGAGAACUUGAGAAAUGCUCAGUUGCUUCUUCAAUUUCCUCUAUUGUGUAUCUCCGGUACCGGAGAUCGGCGUGACUGAAAUUACUCUUGGCAGUUUUCUUCUUCUCGUCUGUUUCUCUCCGAGCUUUCUUCUCUGCGCUUAUUCUCUUUUGAGCUUCAAGCUCUGCAAUUCUUUUAGCUGCUUCAACUGCUUCAAGGGCUGCUCUACACUUGGCUUUUUCCCUCUCUGCGAUUGCCAGAGCAGCUCCUUCUGCUAAUUUUGCCUCCUCUAAUCUCUGUUGCUCCUCCAUUUUCCAUUGAUGAAGCUCCUUAGCCUGUUGUAUAUGUAGUGAUGACAAGGUAUAAUUUUGCUUAUGAUUCUGAAAAAAUGUAAGGAAAAUUUUUCUGGGUCUUAAAAAUCAGCAUGUGCGUACCUUCUGUUUUGCUGUGACAGCUUCUUUAAUGGCGUUAUUAUACAUAUCCAUUGUUUGCUUCAACUCUGAUCUAAGCCUCUUCAUCUCUAAUUCCCAGUCAUCCUGUAAUUUCCAGUCAAUAUAUAUAUAUAUAUUAUAUCAGUCACUCUGUCUCAGGUGCAUAAAGAGUAAAUUUUGACUAAGCCCAUAUGGAAAAUAUACAUGUAUAUGCCACCUUUUAUGCUUAUAUAUAUGAUCAAGCUUACAUUGUAAGGUGCUGAGAUGGAGCAAGAUGAUCUGCCACUUUCUUGUGAGCAUGUUGAGAAUUGGGAAGGGUAUUCCACUGACUUUGUUGUGUAUGAUGAAGCAAAGCUAAAUCUUUCAUCAAAUUCUGAUCCCGUCGAACGCGGCGUCAUUCCUGGAUCAGAAUUCUCGUAGAAACCUGGGAGCAUCCGAUCCGUGCUUGGUCUGC
rnacentral:lncRNA from 1 species